rnacentral:rRNA from 1 species
GAUCAUAGCUCAGGAUGAACGCUAGCUACAGGCUUAACACAUGUCAAGUCGAGGGGCAGCAUGGUCUUAGCUUGCUAAGGCCGAUGGCGACCGGCGCACGGGUGAGUAACACGUAUCCAACCUGCCGUCUACUCUUGGACAGCCUUCUGAAAGGAAGAUUAAUACAAGAUGGCAUCAUGAGUCCGCAUGUUCACAUGAUUAAAGGUAUUCCGGUAGACGAUGGGGA